rnacentral:rRNA from 1 species
GACGAACGCUGGCGGCGUGCCUAAUACAUGCAAGUCGAACGCUGAAGGAGGAGCUUGCUUCUCUGGAUGAGUUGCGAACGGGUGAGUAACGCGUAGGUAACCUGCCUGGUAGCGGGGGAUAACUAUUGGAAACGAUAGCUAAUACCGCAUAAUAGUAGAUGUCGCAUGACAUUUGCUUAAAAGGUGCAAUUGCAUCACUACCAGAUGGACCUGCGUUGUAUUAGCUAGUUGGUGAGGUAACGGCUCACCAAGGCAACGAUACAUAGCCGACCUGAGAGGGUGAUCGGCCACACUGGGACUGAGACACGGCCCAGACGCCUACGGGAGGCAGCAGUAGGGAAUCUUCGGCAAUGGACGGAAGUCUGACCGAGCAACGCCGCGUGAGUGAAGAAGGUUGUCGGAUCGUAAAGCUCUGUUGUAAGAGAAGAACGAGUGUGAGAGUGGAAAGUUCACACUGUGACGGUAUCUUACCAGAAAGGGACGGCUAACUACGUG